GCCGGUUGAAAAGAACAAAGCCAUUCAUGCUUGCCUGAAAAUGAUGAGGUGAUCUACUGUAAAUCAGGAAAAGUGCUGAGGAGCAUUUCAAGCUUAAAAUAGCGGCUCAGUAUAAAAUAAAGAAAUAUGUUUGGAAAUAAGGAUUUAUCACUAAAACUUAUGCAUUGUAAAUUAUCGGGGUUUAUCCCGAAUUGUGAAAUAAAAUAAUCGGGAAAAGUUU
rnacentral:lncRNA from 1 species